CACAGGCCAUAGAAUCUCAACCACAGGAUUUCAUUUAAUUCAAAUCCAACGGUAGGGAGCGUGUCCCCAUUUUUUUGAAAAAUGGGGAUCCCUCCCCUUAAGCAAUUCCUAUAUAUAUAUAUAUAUAUAUAUGUUACUGCUACCAAAUAAGCAUACAUAUCACAAAUACCAAGCUACUAAUUAAUAUAUGUAGCAAUCUUAACAAUGCAACGUAAUAUAUUCAAUGCACCCAUUUGGUUUUCAUCUAUCUCCCUCUUUUAUCUAUUUCUUGUGCCUUCUUUAUAUCAUAGGCAUUUGCGUUUGCUUGUGUAUCUUAUAUUAAUUUUCUUUUGAGGUGGAUAAAGUGAAGCAUACGUUAUGAACCCUAAUGGGAUGAUGAAUGCAAGCAAUAAUAGAUGGAAUGAAUAAAGAGAAAAAAAGGUGAGGGAUAGUGGAUAUGGGAAUCCAUCUGUCUUCAUUCAUAUUUGCUAUCUUUUUUGGUGGCAACUCCUUUUCUUUUCUUUCCCCUUCUUUAUGUUCUCAAUUUCUUUCCUAUUCAAUUGUGCGCGUUCGUGAGGGAAUUAAAGAAGAUGUUAGAUAGUUUCAGACAAGGUGGGGUUACUGUUCUAUCGACUUCAUUUCGGUCAAUACCCCAUAAUUUGGUUGCAUAAUUUGGCCCCUCCAAUUCAAUUUUGGUGUCUGAAUUAAGAACUUUGAUGCCAACGGUUUGAUUAUUUUCAUUGCUGUUAAUUUAUUUGGGACAACUUCACCAUUGACCUUGACCCUAUGUUAAUGUUCCAGAUAUUUAAUUUGGUGCAACUGCAGGUUGUGAAAAAUUGGUGUAGGAAAUUAAGAGAAAUUGCAAUAUAUAUUUCUUUACUUGUUAGGAAAGAAUUUAACUGGAAUUUAAAAACAUACAUGUGAUUUUGACUAUGAAAAAUUGCAAUAUUAUAAAAUCAAUUGGGACUUAUUAGGAAAUUACUCCAUAUGACAGAUCUGGAAUUAAUCACAAGAACUGCUUACCAGCAACCUAUUCCAAUAUAGUUAUCAAAUAGUCUUUGAUUUAGUAAUAGUACUCUUAACAUAGUUGGAGAAAUAUCAAUUUAGACACAGAUGAAUGUGACAAUAAUAUAUAAGCGUAACUUUGUUGUUAAUGAAUUAUUUUGUUGAGAAAAAAGCUUUGUCGUGGGUGAUAUUGUGACGUGUGAAAAUUAUUUCACUGAAAUAAAAUCGAAAGUGGGUAAAGAGAUAAGAUACUGGGAAAUGAAUAACAACACUCUAAAAAUAACAGCUAUACAUGAUGAAAUAGUUAUGGAUUUUAAAUUACAUGAGUCACUUAAUACUAUGGUCUAGUGAUAUUCUUAUUCACUUGUAAGUGAGAUGUUUUAGGUUCAAUUCUCUCAAAAGAAGAAUUUGAAUCACAAAAAAGUUGUUUGAAUCGUAAUCUGUUACUCAAUUCCCAUUCAUCACUUGAACAAACCCGAUCGAAGGACAAAAAUACACUAGUUUCCGAGUGCCAAUUAGCAAGAGAGAAGUUUCUAUUUACCUUCACCACCCUAAUGCCAUGCUAUUUGGCUUGGGUUUCAAGGGGUAAUAAUCACAGCUGUGCAAAGUCUUACAAAGGAAAAGAUUAUAGCCCUUAAGCAAUAAUUAAUUAAAUUGGCAUGCACUUGUAUG
rnacentral:lncRNA from 1 species